UACGAAGGGGGCUAGCGUUGCUCGGAAUUACUGGGCGUAAAGGGAGCGUAGGCGGACAUUUUAAGUCAGAGGUGAAAUCCCGGAGCUUAACUUCGGAACUGCCUUUGAUACUGGGUGUCUUGAGUGUGAGAGAGGUAUGUGGAACUCCGAGUGUAGAGGUGAAAUUCGUAGAUAUUCGGAAGAAACACCAGUGGCGAAGGCGACAUACUGGCUCAUUACUGACGCUGGAGGCUCGAAAAGCGUGGGGAGCAAACAGG
rnacentral:rRNA from 1 species